GAUGAACGCUGGCGGCGUGCCUAAUACAUGCAAGUCGAGCGAACGGACGAGAAGCUUGCUUCUCUGAUGUUAGCGGCGGACGGGUGAGUAACACGUGUAUAACCUACCUAUAAGACUGGGAUAACUUCGGGAAACCGGAGCUAAUACCGGAUAAUAUUUUGAACCGCAUGGUUCAAAAGUGAAAGACGGUCUUGCUGUCACUUAUAGCUGGAUCCGCGCUGCAUUAGCUAGUUGGUAAGGUAACGGCUUACCAAGGCAACGAUGCAUAGCCGACCUGAGAGAGUGAUCGGCCACACUGGAACUGAGACACGGUCCAGACUCCUACGAGAGGCAGCAGUAGGGAAUCUUCCGCAAUGGGCGAAAGCCUGACGGAGCAACGCCGCGUGAGUGAUGAAGGUCUUCGGAUCGUAAAACUCUGUUAUUAGGGAAGAACAUAUGUGUAAGUAACUGUGCACAUCUUGACGGUACCUAAUCAGAAAGCCACGGCUAACUACGUG
rnacentral:rRNA from 1 species